rnacentral:rRNA from 1 species
CUGACUGCUAUCGGAUUGAUACUAAGCCAUGCGAGUCAUUGUAGUAAUACAAGGCAGACGGCUCAGUAACGCGUAGUCAACCUACCCUAUGGACGGGAAUAACCUCGGGAAACUGAGUAUAAUGCCCGAUAGAACACUAUUCCUGGAAUGGUUUGUGUUCCAAAUGAUUUAUCGCCGUAGGAUGGGACUGCGGCCUAUCAGUUUGUUGGUGAGGUAAUGGCCCACCAAGACUAUUACAGGUACGGGCUCUGAGAGGAGUAGCCCGGAGAUGGGUACUGAGACACGGACCCAGGCCCUAUGGGGCGCAGCAGGCGAGAAAACUUUGCAAUGUGCGAAAGCACGACAAGGUUAAUCCGAGUGGUUUGUGCUAAACGAACCUUUUGACAGUCCUAGAAACACUGUUGAAUAAAGGGUGGGCAAGUUCUGGUGUCAGCCGCCGCGGUAAAACCAGCACCUCAAGUGGUCAGGAUGAUUAUUGGGCCUAAAGCAUCCGUAGCCGGCUCUGUAAGUUUUCGGUUAAAUCUGUACGCUCAACGUACAGGCUGCCGGGAAUACUGCAGAGCUAGGGAGUGGGAGAGGUAGACGGUACUCGGUGGGAAGGGGUAAAAUCCUUUGAUCUAUUGAUGACCACCUGUGGCGAAGGCGGUCUACC